UUAAAUUUGUUCUUUGAAAAACAAAGUUGUGAUUAUCUAAGUUGUUAUAUUUUUGUAAUUAUCAAAACAAAAAAAAAUAGCUAUGAUUUCAUUUAAAGUUUUAAUAAUAUUAACUUUUACAAUUAAUAUAAGCCAUUGUGAAUUUUCUGAAGAUCAAAUUCAAAUAGAAUGCAAAUUAUGCAAUGAAUUUUUAGUAUAUGUCGAU